CUAUUUAAUCCACCCAAACCUUGAUUUCAUAUUCUUUGGAUGAAGUAUUUUAAUAUAUUUUCAGAUACAGUGGAUUGUUGCUGUAAUGUUUCCUUACUUUAGGAAAAACAAACCAUGGAUGUCAAGCCCAGAAAUAUGACUCCAGUGGAUCCUGGUGGAACUGAAACCGAGUCUCAGUCAACAAGUUUUGAAAUUUCUAGGAAUGAAGUAGAGGAUGGAUCUGUACUUCUUGAAUCUUGCGAGGUGUCAACAGAAAGUAAUCAAACUACUUGAUUCCCAAAACCUGAGUUAGAGAUUCAAUUUACACCUUUACGGCCAAAAGAAAUGACAGUGAAGCACCCUGGCUGUACCACACCAGUAGCUGUUAAGAUUUCCAAGGCCCGGAAGAGGAAGGGUAAUGAAAUGGAGGAGGGCUUGGUGAAAUAUGAAAAUAAGAAGAAUGCUACACCCAGAACUAAUUUGAAGUCCCCUGUUUCUGAGCAUAGCAAUUCUCCUCUCAAAAAGGAACAGAAGAUUU